rnacentral:rRNA from 1 species
GAUGAACGCUGGCGGUAUGCCUAACACAUGCAAGUCGAACGGGCUUUUCGGAGCUAGUGGCGGACGGGUGAGUAACGCGUGAGAAUCUGCCUUCAGGAUGGGGAUAACAGGGAGAAAUCGCUGCUAAAACCCAAUGUGCCGAAAGGUGAAAUACUUGUAGCCAGAAGAGGAGCUCGCGUCCGAUUAGUUAGUUGGUGGGGUAAGAGCCUACCAAGGCAGCGAUCGGUAGCUGGUCUGAGAGGAUGAGCAGCCACACUGGGACUGAGACACGGCCCAGACUCCUACGGGAGGCAGCAGUGGGGAAUUUUCCGCAAUGGGCGAAAGCCUGACGGUGCAAUACCGCGUGAGGGAGGAAGGCUUUUGGGUUGUAAACCUCUUUUGUCAAGGAAGAAGAAAGUGACGGUACUUAAAGAAUAAGCAUCGGCUAACUCCGUGCCAGCCGCCGCGGUAA